GUGACCCUGCUGGAGUGCGGGGGGGACCUCCAGACCCCUGGGGGGUCCGUGCGCCUCCUCUGCCGAGGGGCCGGGUUCGAUUUCGGGAGUUUUGGAAUGUUCUGGAUGCGUCAGAGACCCGGGCAUGGGCUGGAGUGCCUCGCGGGGAUCAGCAGUGGUGGUUACGCCGAGUACGUGGCAUCGGUCCAGGGCCGGUUCAGGAUCUCCAGGGACAACGGGCAGAGCUCGGUGACGCUGACCAUGAACAGCCUCAAGGACGAGGAUUCCGGAUCCUAUUUCUGUGCCAAGGACACCGAUGGUCACGGUGCUUAUCCUGAUGCUGGCUGGGGAGGAUGGAACAGCAAACCCUUAUCAAUAGGAUUGCUGGGCAAAAGAUUUUGA